rnacentral:rRNA from 1 species
AUUGAACGCUGGCGGCAGGCCUAACACAUGCAAGUCGAGCGGAUGAAGGGAGCUUGCUCCUGGAUUCAGCGGCGGACGGGUGAGUAAUGCCUAGGAAUCUGCCUGGUAGUGGGGGAUAACGUCCGGAAACGGGCGCUACUACUGCAUACGUCCUGAGGGUGAAAGUGGGGGAUCUUCGGACCUCACGCUCUCAGAUGAGCCUAGGUCGGAUUAGCUAGUUGGUGGGGUAAAGGCCUACCAAGGCGACGAUCCGUAACUGGUCUGAGAGGAUGAUCAGUCACACGGGAACUGAGACACGGUCCAGGCGCCUGCGGGAGGCAGCAGUGGGGAAUAGUGGACAGUGGGCGGAAGCCUGGUCCAGCCAGGCCGCGUGUGUGAAAAAGGUCUUCGGAGUGUAAAGCACGUUAAGUGGGGAGGAAGGGCAGUAAGUUAAGACCUUGCUUUUUUGACGGUACCGACAGAAUAAGCACCGGCUAACUACGUG